ACGCUCCCCUAACGAACACACCAUAGUUGAUCGAGCUGUCAUCAAGGCUGUCAUUUUUUUUUCACCCGCGCGCGUGUUUGAUCCUGUUUGUGUGGCGCAGUUGAAAUCAAAAAUUCUCAAGUCGAAUCGCGUGUGCUCGUGAAGGAACAACAUCCGGCGUUCGGAACAAAUACACCGGGUGACCGAACCGGAACGGCUCUGGGAUGGCGGAAUUUUCGCAUAUUUGGGGACUUCUUCUACCAGGCCCGGCGCCUGCUGCGGACACUUCCGGCCGGAUUUGUUCAGGAUGGUCGUUUCGUCUGGAGGCGAAAAUCGUUAGGGGCCUAUUCCACUGAGGAUUGUGCUUCAUAAAUACGCGAGAGUUCAUCCCAAGUACUAAGCAGUAGUUCCGGUACCGGCUACAAACAUUUCGAACAACGUCAGAAAGUUCGGAUUGAAGCAGAAUAUUGAAAGAAAACGACGCGGAAAAAAAGUACUAAUUUUUUUAAAUCUACGAAAAAAACUAUAAAAAUACAAUAAAACUUACCGUAUUGACCAUUAAUUUCAAUGUAUAAAUAUAUGUUUUACAGUACAAUUUAGUGGAGAGAACAAAAUAAAUACAAUGAAUCAUACUGUAGUUAUUAUUUAUUUCAAUGUACGAAUAUAGUUUAAACCGUACUAUUUAGUAUGGAAAAAUCCAUGAAGAACUGUGAAUCUACUGUGCAAACCAUUCUAAUGGUUACUGUUUUUAUUAUAAAUGUAUGAUGUUUUCUAUGGUCAGGGUAAUUUUUUGGACGGAAAAGGCAUCAAUGAAAAUACGGUAGAAUAUAUAGUUUUUGGUUUUUUUUUGUAUGGGGAAAAGUCGAAAUUUUUAUGGUGACUGUGCCUAACAAUACCCCUUUUUUAUAGUAAUUUCCCAAAAUAAGAUAUAUUCUAUGGUGAAAAAACAUAAAGGCUACUGUAGAAUCAUGGUAAAAAUAACCAUAGAAUUUAUCGUGUGAUAACCAUAAAAUCUACUGUUGGUUUAUAGUAAAACUUUAUGCGGGAGCGACGUU